UGGGGAAUAUUGGACAAUGGGGGGAACCCUGAUCCAGCCAUGCCGCGUGUGUGAAGAAGGCCUUAUGGUUGUAAAGCACUUUAAGCGAGGAGGAGGGUACUGGUAUUAAUACUACCAGGUACUGGACGUUACUCGCAGAAUAAGCACCGGCUCACUCUGUGCCAGCAGCCGCGGUAAUACAGAGGGUGCGAGCGUUAAUCGGAUUUACUGGGCGUAAAGCGUGCGUAGGCGGCUAAUUGAGUCGGAUGUGAAAUCCCCGAGCUUAACUUGGGAAUUGCAUUCGAUACUGGUGAGCUAGAGUGUGGGAGAGGAUGGUAGAAUUCCAGGUGUAGCGGUGAAAUGCGUAGAGAUCUGGAGGAAUACCGAUGGCGAAGGCAGCCAUCUGGCCUAACACUGACGCUGAGGUACGAAAGAAUGGGGAGCAAACAGG
rnacentral:rRNA from 1 species